GGAAAAUGGACACCAGCAGCAGCUGCAGGAGUGUGUGCUACUCUCCUGGUUAUAAUAUCCCUCGCUGUCUUUUUAUGGAUUAGAAAGAAGAGGACUUCGAGUCAAUCUCCCAGAACUGAAACCUUGGAUAACUUGGACGAGCUAACCCCUUAUCACCUGUAUGAUGGCAUCUCAGCUCAACCAACAGAGCAGAAUGAUAUCCUCUAUAGCAAAGUCCACUUCUCUCAGUACCACGCAGAUCCUCUCUACUCCGCAGUCCAGCCACAUCCGCAUCAAGAACAAGAGCACGUUGCCUAUGCUGUUGUCAAAUUCAGACAGAACACGACCUCAGAGCAUGAUGGCCAGGCAGUGGAUACCUAGAAUUUGUAAAAGAGAAUGUCACAGCAAACCUACCUCCAUGCGCAACUCUGAUAUUCUUCUGUUU